rnacentral:tRNA from 1 species
AUUAUUUUGGCAGAUUAGUGCAAUUGAUUUAGAAUCUUUAUAUGUAAUUUAAAUUACAGAUAAUACUUGAUAUU